UGCAUUGGUCAGAGGAAUUCUUAACAGAAC
rnacentral:piRNA from 1 species